rnacentral:lncRNA from 1 species
GAAAAAUUAAUUUGAGAUUUUUAGGCAUUUUUGUACCUGAAUUUUCAUUUGCCGUACCGGGAAUUUUUUUUUUUUUUUUCUUAGGAUCCAAAAAAUCUGAUAACACUUCGGUCGAAAAUAGCCGGGCGUCCUUUAAAAUCUGGACCAAACGAAAAAUUGAGCAUUGGCGACGUUAGGAGAAUCCGGGACCUAUAUCGCUGUGACGGAGCAGUUCAAAAACCAAGCUUCCCUGAGGAUGUUGUCUGUACCUUUGAAGAGCAUGACUGCGGCUUCAAAGGGUUGCGUAAUCUGGAUUCGGAAGAACCUUUUCCAAAUCGUAAUCGGCGUCUCAAUUGGGACUGGAAAAGCAGAUCAGACUCAUUGCAUCGCGAAGAAAGGAACCUUGAAGGAUACCUCUUUUGGCGGUUUAAUAAUGCUUUUAAUCUUACUACCACCCAAGACCACGCUUGGAGCGUAGGCUUUUACGGGCAGAGCCCUAUCGACAAAACUCGCGGCCCAAAGGGCUGUAUCUAUUUUAAGUAUUCGUUCCAGGCUCAGGGAAAAGGACUCAACACACUCAAUCUGUUGCAAGUGGAGCUACGGUCACCUCUGGACUCCAGGUAUUUCGAUUUCAGUCCGAAAUCGUCGACUGUAAUUUGGUCGGAAACUGCCGAACGUCCGUCUAGAUUCAGUUCGGGGAGGACGCAAUGGAAGCAAGCUCACUUUUCUUUGAACGUUGAGAGUCCAUUUUUGCUUGAUUUUGUUUCUACACUGGAGAACGGAAUUGGCAAGUUUAAGGUUAAAAUUGACGACUUGGUAGUUCAAUACACACCCUGCCCAAUCAAGCUCUAUAACUGGCGCCGUUUAGGGUUUAAAUCGGAUGAACCAAUUCCGCUCCAUACGGAGAGUCCAAAUCGGCACCAGAAGAAAGUCCAAAAGAAGUUUUCAUGGAGACGACUAAUGUCAAAGUCCUUUAAGAGUGUAAGAUCUCACUUAGCGUCCAUUUCCAAAGCGAGAUCAUCCUCAGCCUCCAUUCCCAGAUCGACAUCGUCUUCAUCGUUCAUUUCCAGAUCGAGAUCGUCCGUAGGGUCGAAAUCAAAAUCGCCAUGAAAGAUCAACAUCUGAACCUUUUGGCUCAAAGAGGGUGUCACCGUCAAAUUUACAGAAAUCAGCCGCGUUUUCUGAUCGAGAAAUCCGGAGGAGGCAGAAUCUGACAGCGCUAUAGGCAAAUCAGCUACACAUCUAUCAAUACCGAGAAGAUGUGACCUACGAAUUGAAUUAAGAAAAUUAAUAAUCCGAUUCAAUUUUACGUUAAACUUGAAUGUCUAUGCCUUAACUCCCAG